GACGAACGCUGGCGGCGUGCUUAACACAUGCAAGUCGAACGGAAAGGCCCUGCUUGCCGGGUACUCGAGUGGCGAACGGGUGAGUAACACGUGGGUGAUCUGCCCUGCACUUCGGGAUAAGCCUGGGAAACUGGGUCUAAUACCGGAUAGGAGCCAUUUUUAGUGUGAUGGUUGGAAAGUUUUUUCGGUGUAGGAUGAGCUCGCGGCCUAUCAGCUUGUUGGUGGGGUAAUGGCCUACCAAGGCGGCGACGGGUAGCCGGCCUGAAAGGGUGGACGGCCACAUUGGGACUGAGAUACGGCCCAGACUCCUACGGGAGGCAGCAGUGGGGAAUAUUGCACAAUGGGCGCAAGCCUGAUGCAGCGACGCCGCGUGGGGGAUGACGGCCUUCGGGUUGUAAACUCCUUUCGCUAGGGACGAAGCUUUUUGUGACGGUACCUAGAGAAGAAGCACCGGCUAACUACGUG
rnacentral:rRNA from 1 species